rnacentral:rRNA from 1 species
AUUGAACGCUGGCGGCAGGCCUAACACAUGCAAGUCGAGCGGAUGAAGAGGGCUUGCUCUCUGAUUCAGCGGCGGACGGGUGAGUGAUGCCUAGGAAUCUGCCUGGUAGUGGGGGACAACGUUUCGAAAGGAACGCUAAUACCGCAUACGUCCUACGGGAGAAAGUGGGGGAUCUUCGGACCUCACGCUAUCAGAUGAGCCUAGGUACGAUUAGCUAGUGGGUGAGGUAAAGGCUCACCAAGCCGACGAUCGUUAACUGGUCUGAGAGGAUGACCACUACCACUGGAAAUGAGACACGGACCAGAUUCUUACGGGGAGCAACAUUGGGGAAUAUUGAACCAGGGGCGCAAGCGUGAUCCAGCCAUUACGCGUGUGUGGAGAACGUCUUCGGAUUGUAAAGCACUUUAAGUUGGGAGGAAGGGCAGUAAGUUUAUACCUUGCUGUGCUGAUGUUACCGACGGAAUAAGCAUCGGCUAACUUCGUGCCAGCCGCCGCCGUAACAC